AUGUCCAGGAUGCGCUUCUCGAUCUCCAUCAGCCGGGUGCCGAACCUCUUGAACGCCUCCAGGGCCUUGGCGUCCGACGUCCACUCCGGCGUGUCGCGCUGCCCGAGGUACACCUCGUCGGAGGAGUGCUUCGACAGGAUCUCGAUGAGCGUGAUGCCGAGGAUGGUCUGGAACUGGCUGGUGAUGGUGUGGAUGAACACCUUGUCGGCCUCCUUCCCGCCCUUCUGCAGCUGCUUGUACUCCUCUUCGCCCUCCUCCGGCAUCUUCCGACGGCUCACCGUCGGCCGCGCCGAUGCCACCCAGAUGAUGGUGGUGCACGUCUUGGCCAGCUCCUGCACGGUCACCAUCUUGGGCCACCAGUCGGCGUCCUUGAGGUCGCCGUGCCCGACCUCGCGCACCUCCUUCCACCACUCCUCCAGCUCCUUGUCGGCCCGGAGCACGCCGUCGUUGGGGUAG
rnacentral:rRNA from 1 species